rnacentral:lncRNA from 1 species
UAGAUAUUGAUUGUAGGAUGGGAUUACUUUUGAAAUAGAGUGAUUCUCGGAUAGUUCUUUCUGACUGAUGGUCGAGAGAAAUGAGGUUUUUGAAUUGUUAGAUGAUACGCUGUUUGAAAAGUAUUUAAUGGAUUUAAUUAGAUAGAGAAUCACAUGUGCUGGUGACUCUAUUCCAUUCAAUGGAGGAGACUAUUCAGGCAGGGGAGCAAAAGAUCCCAUCAGAUGGUGGAC